rnacentral:rRNA from 1 species
CGAGAGGACAUGUGGAGCUUCUAGAAGUGAGAAUGCCGGUAUGAGUAACGAAAGACAGGUGAGAAUCCUGUCCGCCGCAAGACUAAGGUUUCCUGGGGCAGGCUCGUCCGCCCAGGGUAAGUCGGGACCUAAGGCGAGGCCGAGAGGCGUAGUCGAUGGACAACAGGUUGAAAUUCCUGUACUGCACCGAAUCGUUAUGAGCGAUGGAGGGACGCAGGAGGCUAGCAGCGCGUGGUGCUGGAUACCACGUUCAAGCGUCAAGUCUGAGAGCGAGUCAAAUGCUUGCUCUCAUAAGGACAAGGCGUGAUGAGGAGCGAAAUUAAAGUAGCGAAGGCUGCGACGUCACACUGCCGAGAAAAGCUUCUAGCCAGAGACGGUGCACCCGUACCGCAAACCGACACAGGUAGUCGAGGAGAGUAUCCUCAGGUGAGCGAGAGAACUCUCGUUAAGGAACUCGGCAAAAUGGCCCCGUAACUUCGGGAGAAGGGGCGCUGGUCGCAAGAUCAGCCGCAGUGAAAAGGCCCAAGCAACUGUUUAUCAAAAACACAGGCAUCUGCAAAAUCGUAAGAUGAAGUAUAGGUGCUGACACCUGCCCGGUGCUGGAAGGUUAAGAGGAGAGCUUAGCGCAAGCGAAGGUUUGAAUUGAAGCCCCAGUAAACGGCGGCCGUAACUAUAACGGUCCUAAGGUAGCGAAAUUCCUUGUCGGGUAAGUUCCGACCUGCACGAAAGGUGUAAUGAUUUGGGCACUGUCUCAACGAGAGACUCGGUGAAAUUAUAAUACCCGUGAAGAUGCGGGUUACCCGCGACAGGACGGAAAGACCCCAUGGAGCUUUACUGCAGUUUAAUAUUGGGUAUCU